ensembl:lncRNA
AUGGAGAGGAUGGAGGUGGACCAGUGCGCAGGCGCAGGAGGAGCCCUCCGAAGGUCGAACAGCGCCCCCAUGAUCACGAACGUCAGCGACGGGACGACAGUAUUCAGCUCUAAUAGUUCGGCUCGGUAUCGUCGGAGCAGCGUUUCUGUGAACCCGAGCUGUCCCUCCCGGACCCUUCCUCUGUCCCCAUUCUCCCUGCCAUGUGAGAGAUCCGAACACAAGAGACAGAUUGAGAAUAUGGAGCUCACUUUGAGAGGGAGUUUGCAGAGACUAAGUGCCUCGCCUGCUGUUCCGUUCCCUCCUGCGAGUCAUUGGCAUGACCAUCUGUCUCCAGGAUUCCAUUCCCAGGACAGCGGUGUCACUCCUAAUUCCUCACCCAGUCCAAUUCGAAGGUUUCGAGGAGGAUCUGUGAGCUCUGGAGUGAGAUGGCCAUCAGUUGCACCUUUGAAAAGGAAAGGUGGAGUGGAAUCGGACGGUCCUCCCAAAAAGCUCUUUGUUGCUGGAGUCACAGACCCUGCUCACAUAACCAGUUACACAGUCAGUGUUUCCCAGUCAGUGGACUCUUCCUCUGGGACUGCUCCUGUCGAUUCAAACACCCAGGCCACCCCCCUGUCCCUCUCCCCUCCGUCCCACUUCACCUCUCACCACCCCAGCAUCUAA